AUUGAACGCUGGCGGAAUGCUUUACACAUGCAAGUCGAACGGCAGCACGGACUUCGGUCUGGUGGCGAGUGGCGAACGGGUGAGUAAUAUAUCGGAACGUGCCCAGUCGUGGGGGAUAACGUAGUGAAAAUUACGCUAAUACCGCAUACGAUCUAAGGAUGAAAGCGGGGGAUCGCAAGACCUCGCGCGAUUGGAGCGGCCGAUAUCAGAUUAGGUAGUUGGUGAGGUAAAGGCUCACCAAGCCAACGAUCUGUAGCUGGUCUGAGAGGACGACCAGCCACACUGGAACUGAGACACGGUCCAG
rnacentral:rRNA from 1 species